rnacentral:lncRNA from 10 species
AAGGGAGCCUGAAGAGCUGGUCCUUAUACAGCUUUCUGAAAUCCCUGAGAUCUGUCAAUGAAUCGCGCAUCUUUCACUCCACAAGUAUUUGUUGAACGUCAUUGUGAUCAUGCUGGCUGCUGUGUGGAGAAAAGACCGAGGGGAAGUAAAAGAACAAAGAACAAAAGAGAACAUGAUGGCUUGGAUCAAGCCUGGUUCUUGACUAUCCCCUAAAAUUGUCAGUCAGUAGAAGCUCACUGAGUAUCAUCUGAAUUUAAAUCACCAUUAGCUCCCUUCUGAUGAAGCAGGAGUUGACUCAGCUGGGCUUUCAGCUGGACACGGAAAGCGGAGGUAGAUGAAUUGUCAUGAUCAAGUGGGUGUCAUCAAGUACUUAGAAAGGUUUCAUUUUGUUCCUACUGUCUUUCCAACUUACUAAUAAAAAUAUUGAAAUCUA